rnacentral:rRNA from 1 species
AUACGUAGGGGGCGAGCGUUGUCCGGAAUGAUUGGGCGUAAAGGGCGCGUAGGCGGCCCGGUAAGUCUGGAGUGAAAGUCCUGUUUUUGAGAUGGGAAUUGCUUUGGAUACUGUCGGGCUUGAGUGCAGGAGAGGUAAGUGGAAUUCCCAGCGUAGCGGUGAAAUGCGUAGAGAUUGGGAGGAACACCAGUGGCGAAGGCGACUUACUGGACUGUAACUGACGCUGAGGCGCGAAAGUGUGGGGAGCAAACAGGAUUAGAUACCCUGGUAGUCCACACUGUAAACGAUGAAUGCUAGGUGUAGGGGGUAUCGACCCCUUCUGUGCCGCAGUCAACACAAUAAGCAUUCCGCCUGGGGAGUACGGCCGCAAGGUUGAAACUCAAAUGAAUCGGCGGGG